AUGAAAGGAUGGAACGAUGGUAAGAGCAAUGUCUCGGUUAGGAAAGGAUGGAACAAUGGUAGGUAUGCAGAGCAGGUAAAGAGAUAAAAUGUCUCGAUUAACAAAGGGGCUGACGAUUUACAGGAUUUCUUCUUUGUGAUAAAGUUGUUCCAAUGAGAGAGUGAGACAAAAAAGCAGGUAAAGAGGAGGGAGUGAGACAGAGAAGCAAGUAAAGAGGCAAAAUGUCUCGAUUAACAAAGGGGUUGAUGAUCUACAAGAUUUCUUCUUUGUGGUAAAGCUGUUCCAGAGGGAGUGAGACAAAAAAGCAUGUAAAGAGACAAAAUGUCUCAUUUAACAAAGGGGCUGACAAUUUACAGGAUUUCUUCUUUGUGGUAAAGUUGUUCCAGGGAAGGAGUGAGACAGAGAGAGACCAGACAAUGGGAAAGGGAGAGAUUGAAAGGACGUCUCAAGGGAGGGCAGAGAGAGAAAGGAAAGUAAAGGAAAAAAGAGAGACAAAAAGACAUGGAAGAGGGAUAGAGAGAACGAACAGGAAAUAGGGAGAAGGGAAAGACAUGAGACAAGCUCGGUGCGAUAGAGAAAGAAAGCCUAAAAUGGAAUGUUGCAAAGAAAGAUAUUGAAAGGAGUAGACUGUGCAUUGCAUGAUCCCCCCUCCCCCUGUAAGAAGAGCCGACCACUGUUCCAAAGGAUAGUGAAGAAAAGACCACCUGUGAUAGAGAUUGGGUCUCCAAUUGAGAAUGAAUCAAAUAAUGAGGAUACUGAUCCUGGCUCUAUAGCAUGGUGGGAAGGAGUCAUUGAUAUAACUGAGAGUGGUACCGAUCUUGGUGAAGACACAACAUCGGAUGUGAAUAUUGAACCCAAUAGUGAUAUAGGUGAUGGCCAUGAUGUCUUGCCUCAUGACGGAGGCAAUGAGGAAGUUCUUAGAAGUUAUGAUUGAUAACGUGAGAAAGCUUACUUCAGAGAUGGAAAAUGAAACUCCUAAGGCUAGCCCUUCUCAGUCAUAGUCAUUUAUCCAUUCAUGUUAUGGAUUGUUACGCAAAUUGGUUUAUUUGGCUCGGUAUUCCCUUUUUUAUUUAUACUUUACGCUUCAAAACUAAAUGGAUGAAUGUAAUAUGACCCACCUUUUUAAUGACUUCCUUUUUCUUCUUGUAUCAGAUUAAAUCCCUUUUGAUUUACUGCUUCAAAACUUCAAAUAUUUGACUUAUCCUUUUUUUGUCUUUGGAUUAUGAAUUGAAUCACACAUUUGUUUGAAGUAGAUGAUGGUUACUGUUUUUACAUUAUCCUAAAAUGCUUAUAAAGCUCUUGGAUCAUCAACUUGACGCAAUUUUAAUCCUAUAAUUUUCUAUCUAAUGCAUGUUUAACUAUAUGAGGUGUAACUAUGAAGUAUAUCUUUUAUGGGUUAUUUGAAGUUUAUCAUCUUUUAACAUUUGGUGCUCCAAUGGGGUUCUCAUUUUUUUACUAUUUUGGCAAGUCACUUGCCUUUUGGGAUCUUUUUUUAAUC